rnacentral:rRNA from 1 species
GUUAGGAAUAUUGGACAAUGGGCGCAAGCCUGAUCCAGCCAUGCCGCGUGAGUGAUGAAGGCCUUCGGGUUGUAAAGCUCUUUAGCCGAUGAUUAUAAUGACUGUAGUCGGAAAAUAAGCCCCGGCUAACUUCGUGCCAGCAGCCGCGGUAAUACGAAGGGGGCGAGCGUUAUUCGGAAUCACUGGGCGUAAAGCGUGCGUAGGCGGUUUUGUAAGUUAGGAGUGAAAGCCCAGGGCUCAACCCUGGAAUUGCUCUUAAAACUACAAGGCUAGAAUGUCGGAGAGGAUAGCGGAAUUUCCAGUGCAGCAGUGAAAUGCGUAGAUAUUGGAAGGAACACCAGUGGCGUAAGCGGCUAUCUGGACGACUAUUGACGCUGAGGCACGAAAGCGUGGGGAUCAAACAGGAUUAGAAACCCCGGUAGUCC